UAUAGAGAAUACCGUUUCCACGAAAACGGUCAAAUCCAAAGCGACUGUCUGAACAUCUCUUUUUGAAAAUGGGUAUAAUUCUGCUGGGUCAGUAGUUCAGUUGGUUAGAAUGCCGCUCUGAUACAGCGGAGGUCGAAGAUUCGAGUUCUUCCUGACCCACCACUUAAAUUGAUGAGGUUGGAAUCAAAAACGAAUACUUGUUUUUGAUUCCAGAUGUUCUGAUGAAUAUCUUCGGAAUCUGCUUUUAUUAGCAGUCAUUGUAAAUCGGUUUUUAAUGUCGUAAAUCAAACUUUAUGGAAACAUGACUUUUGAUUUAUUGAACAUCGUAAUCUCAAAAAUCUUUCUAAAUAGAGUAAUCACGAAAGUGAUAAUUCAAUUAGAGAAGCAAGAAUCAACUUAAAUGCUUAAAAAACUCAUUAAGUUCUUUUGAUUGUGUUUGAAGACUUUCUCUUCAAGCAUAAGAUAAAAAGUAACAAAGGGUGUUUAGUGGAUGCCUUGGCAAUCAGAGGCGAUGAAGGACGUGAAAGACUGCGAUAAGUCCGGGUGAGGCGUCAAUAUCCUUUGACCCCGGAAUUUC
rnacentral:misc_RNA from 1 species